AAUAUGGUGAAGACGUCUGAUGAGCCAGCUAAUUUUGGUAGGAGGAGAACAUUCUGGCUAGCUGCUGAAGGAUGCUUUUCCCUGGAAUUCCAUUUAUUGUCACCAAGAUCCUCCAAGGAGCUGAGCGCUUGCAGCUGACAUUGCCUUGAGUAUGAUGAAGCCCAGGAAGCUGACGGGCAGGGAGUCAAUGGACCCUUUCAGCGUCCAGAGGGUCAGACCACCGCAAUCCACUAUCAACAGUGUCACCAACAACAAAGUGUCAUUCCCCAAAAUAAAGUUGAAAUUCUGUAUACAGACAGAAGGAGCCGAGUCCACAGGCAUCCUGCAGGGGGCGCAAAGGCGCUCCUCAGAUCGUUUGGAAACUACUUGGAAAAUGUUCACUUCUAGCUGCUUUUCUGAAACCUGGGAGGCCCUGCGGCUUCUGAUCAUUGACUCUUCAGUUGGAGGAAGUGCUUCCUAGCCUUACAGGUACUGAGUGCUUCCAUUGGUUCCAGAGACCCCGCUGAUGACCAGCAAGGAUGGUCCCACACCACAGUCUUCCAGACAUAGCCGCCUUCUAGAAGUCCUGUUCCCUUCCUGCAGGCCUCCAAGCUCUGAGAGGGCAGAAAAGAUGUGAUAAGGAUACUUUGAAUGGGAAUAACUGAAUGAGUAUUUCAAGAUUCCCUGAAGCUCCCAAAAUGUUAUAAUACAAAAGAAAAAUGAAUCUAAAACACUUGCCUCAAAUUUUGUCUACACCAUGGUUUCAAAUCAAAAUUUUUCAAAGGUAGAGUAAGAAAACCAACAUGAGAAAUCCAUUUGGUUGAAAAUUCUUAGUGUAUUAGGGUGAUAAAUACUGGGCAGUUUUUCCUGUUUCCCAAAAUGUGUUUUAAAUAACAAUAAA